AUUUUCUAUUGACGAAGGAUGAAUUUGGUAGAAAUAAAGUACUAGUAUUCAAAAAUUUAUGCUGUGUUGUUAGAAAAAAAAAUUAGUGUCUAUGUAACUAACAGUUUCAAUUGCCUAUUGCCAAAUUAGAAAAAUUCAUAUAUUUUAUCACGGGCGUAGUCAGACGCUAUUGGGGGAGGUUUCAAACCCUCAACAAAUCCCCUGGCCACACCCAUGUAUUUUAUUUAAGUAUCAAUAGUAGGUUGUAGUAGUAGGUUCAUGGCAGGGAACAUUGAUGUUCCCUAAUUCUUGAUACACAACUUAAACGUUAAAUUCGUUUACCAAGAGAUGUGUGAAACAUGCUCCAGUAGAAAAGCCUGAUCCAGAACCGAUUGACGAAGGAGAAACAGAAGAUGAUGGUGGUAAUGAAGACGCAGAUGAAUCGGAAGAUUCCCAUGACGUGGACGAAGA
rnacentral:misc_RNA from 1 species